UGGGGAAUUUGGACAAUGGGCGAAAGCCUGAUCCAGCAAUGCCGCGUGUGUGAAGAAGGCCUUCGGGUUGUAAAGCACUUUUGUCCGGAAAGAAAUCCUUGGCUCUAAUACAGUCGGGGGAUGACGGUACCGGAAGAAUAAGCACCGGCUAACUACGUGCCAGCAGCCGCGGUAAUACGUAGGGUGCAAGCGUUAAUCGGAAUUACUGGGCGUAAAGCGUGCGCAGGCGGUUUGCUAAGACCGAUGUGAAAUCCCCGGGCUCAACCUGGGAACUGCAUUGGUGACUGGCAGGCUAGAGUAUGGCAGAGGGGGGUAGAAUUCCACGUGUAGCAGUGAAAUGCGUAGAGAUGUGGAGGAAUACCGAUGGCGAAGGCAGCCCCCUGGGCCAAUACUGACGCUCAUGCACGAAAGCGUGGGGAGCAAACAGGAUUAGAUACCCUGGUAGUCCACGCCCUAAACGAUGUCAACUAGUUGUUGGGGACUUCAUUUUCCUUAGUAACGUAGCUAACGCGUGAAGUUGACCGCCU
rnacentral:rRNA from 1 species